UUUAAGCAAUUUAGAUUUUUCUUGUAAGCCCUAAUUCUAAUUAAUGAGCUUUAACAAGCUAUAACAUCCAAUCUGAUCAUCCACUUGAUGUAAAAUUUUUCAUGCAAUUGUCAAUAUAAGUCUUCUAUAUGCCCAAGAAUUUUUAGUACAAUCCAACUCACAGAUUGUGAGAAAACCUUUAAAAAUUGCACUGAUGUCACUUGGCCUCCAACUUGAAAAGCAAAAUAGAAAUCCCAGCAAUGAUUUCUCCCUUUCCAACUAUUAACUUUGUCUCAAAAUUGGUGUGUAGCUUGAUCUUUAAGUCUUUCAAAACCAUGUCAAUUUUCACCUAAAUCCAACUAAUAGAUCUUCAGAUAUCAUAGAAACCCUACCUAAUCUCAAAUUGCCACCUUCCAAACUCCUCUUGUGCUAAAAACUAGAUAUCUCUAAACCAUGCCAUUAGAUUAUCACAAAAUUUUGUAUAUACUUAG
rnacentral:lncRNA from 1 species